GAAGAAAAAGUCAGUCGGCGUCUAACAUUCAGAGAGAAAAUACAUAAAACCUGUAAGGGAAUUCAAACUCUGGUCCUGUACCUCCUGAAUUCCUCAUCACGUAUUAUUCUAGUCAAUAUUCAUAAAGACUAUCGUAAAUUGCCCAUACAUACAAGCGUGAGGGUUUAUGAAAAAAGCCCGUCAGAUCGUGUCUGAGUUCCGUGUGUCGGAGCCAGUCAUUCAAGUAAACUGCACAAGGGCGUAUAGACCCUUAACCUGUGUGUGUGUGAAAAUUAAUUAUCCGUGUGAUUAGUGCAAACCAGUCGUGUUCGAAAAUCAGAUCUAAAAGAUCUAUUGUGUUCAUUGCGAAAGACAGGUGUGUCAGAGCGUUAUUCCUUGCAUCAAAGGAAUCACUGUGUCCUGUCUAUGACCACCUCAUAAGUGUCUCUGUUCUCUCUUACCUCCAUCCGCAGUAUGUCCGGCAUAGUCCUGUCUCAACAGGUGUUUCCCACCACCCGUGAAGCCUUUCGUGAAUUUAUUCUGUCUGUCAGGGGUGCUACUGCAUCACCUGUCACUAUCUGCAUCACCUGUCAAAAAAAUAAAACUAGAAAUCGAUAAUGAAGAAACCGAAUGCGGCGCCGGAAAAGAAGGCGAAGCGAGAACCCGUGCGGUCCGUAAUGGAAAAGGGUCCAAUAAUGGUCCUAGUAGUCCAAAUGUCCGGUCGGACACACCCGCUUCGGAUGUAUCUGUGAGCAAUCUGACAAAAAAGUUUGGAUCUCGUACGGUUACUCCGUCCACUAGUCUAUGUGUUCCCUUUCCAACACCCAGUCCAUCGAUUAGUCUACAUGCAAGUGACUUUUCCGACUCAGAGUCCACCAUCUCUACGUCCGUAACUGAAAAUGACUUCCCCGAUUCA